UACAGAGGGGGCAAGCGUUUAUUCGGAAUUAUUGGGCGUAAAGGGCGCGUAGGCGGCUUGGCAAGUGGAUGGUGAAAAUCCCUCGGCUUUAACCGAGGAACUGCCGUCCAAAACUGCUUCGCUUGAGACCGGGGAGAGGUGAGUGGAAUUCCCAGUGUAGCGGUGAAAUGCGUAGAUAUUGGGAGGAACACCAGUGGCGAAGGCGGCUCACUGGACCGGUACUGACGCUGAUGCGCGAAAGCGUGGGGAGCAAACGGGG
rnacentral:rRNA from 1 species